AGACAUAGAACAAGGGGACCAAGUACAUUUGUUGCAGGAAAGCCUGGCCAGUACACAACCUGACAAGCUGGGAGAGCAUUGUUAUUGUGCCAUGGAGCCCCUUGAUGUGGAUGAAGUAAACGAUCUCAGGAAUAGUAUUAUUGAGUGAACACA